AGGGUAGAGGAAUGAGGGGGAAAGUUCUAUAGUCCUGUAAUUAGAUCUCAGGACUAUAGAACUUUCCCCCUCAUCCCUCUGCCCU
ensembl:miRNA